rnacentral:snoRNA from 1 species
AAGUCAUGACCAUAGACAGAAAUUCCCAUGAGGUUCUUCAUAUGCUGUUGGGAACCUGUUGGGAACCUGU